CUGCAGACCAAACAUUCAUACGGGAAAACGAGAAGAUCGAUCGAACAAACCAACAAAGUGAAGCAGGUGGAUCGAUUGAGAUGGCGAUGGUUAGGGUUCCGCAAGUUGCGUUCCGUCGGGUUCUUCCACUGUUCGUUCACCGCGACGUACCCUUUUUGGUUGUCUCCCGGCAAAUCACGACCAAUUGCGUCCGCACCGCCGCCGCCGCUAUUUCCUCCAGAACCACCACCAGUGUCCGUUGUAAGAGCAGUAAUGUUGCAAAAUAUGGCUCUGCUAACGGAACGUUCUCGAAAUGGGGUUCGAGUCGGAACUUGAGUAUUAGAGCUACUCAAGUGAAUGACUCCGGGUCUAUCGAUUCCCCACUCAUGCAGUCAAUGGAGAACAAGAUUAAGGAACAACUAGAUGCACAAUCUGUCACUGUAAAAGAUGCUUAUGGGGAUGGACGACAUGUUAGCAUUGAUGUUAUUUCUUCAGCCUUUGAGGGACAAUCGGCUGUAAAUCGGCAGAGGAUGGUGUACAAAGCUAUUUGGGAGGAGCUGCAGAGCACAGUGCAUGCAGUGGAUCAGAUGACCACCAGAACACCCGCCGAAGCAGCAGUCAAGAAUUCAUAAUUUUAAAAGUUUGUCCAAGCCUCCAUUUGCCAAUAAAUUCCUUACAAUUAAAAGGGCUCGAUUCUCCUCCAAGACUCCUUCAGCUGAAACCUUCUCCCUCUGCAUGUUAGAAAGCUCAGAUCCCAUACGAUGAGAUGCGGAGCAGACCCGCACGCUGCUAGCCUGAAAGGUCGGUUGUUAACAUCACAAAGUUGUAAAAGAUGUUAUUGAUAGUAAAAGGAAAGAAGCAUACCUACGAAUAUCAUAGAUGGCCUGGCAGAGCUCAACGAUCAGGCUUGCUAGGUUCCAACGCUUCAGGAGCCUGAUAGGGCCCCGAAAAGUUGAAAGCAGGGAGUUGCAGGUGUGAGACCCUCAGCUCGAUGAGAUUCGAAUGUCGGUGGUAUAGGAGGCCCAGCUAGGAUAGGUGUCGUUUUCGGCAGGGGAGCUCGAGCAGAGGGUGCAGAGGACGAGCUGCAGCAAUGGUUGUCGCAACUGGCAGCCUGCUCGGGGCAGGCGUCUCCUUUGAGAAUUGAAGCCAAAAUUAAGUUAUAAAUAUUUAUUCAUUUUUAUUUUCUCAUUCCUUUGAUUUCGGUAAUUUAAGAUUUACGGAAGGCUAACCUAUCAAAACUAGAUUGAAGCUCA